rnacentral:misc_RNA from 1 species
GUGAAUUAAACAUGCUUGGUGUCUUCGCUUCGGCAAGGCCCUUGCUUAAAUCACAUCCUAACACCUGUGAACCUGUAAGACGUAUGAUGAGGUCUUUGGCCAAGUCAUCGUCUGCCCAUUUUUAACAAACAAUUAAUGUAACAAACGUAGUCUUAUUAUAACCUAAUA